CACGUAGGGGGCAAGCGUUGUCCGGAUUUAUUGGGCGUAAAGAGCUCGUAGGCGGUCUGUCGCGUCGGUCGUGAAAACUUGGGGCUUAACCCUGAGCUUGCGGUCGAUACGGGCAUGACUGGAGUUCGGUAGGGGAGACUGGAAUUCCUGGUGUAGCGGUGAAAUGCGCAGAUAUCAGGAGGAACACCGGUGGCGAAGGCGGGUCUCUGGGCCGAUACUGACGCUGAGGAGCGAAAGCGUGGGGAGCGAACAGG
rnacentral:rRNA from 1 species